rnacentral:rRNA from 1 species
UAGGGAAUCUUCCGCAAUGGACGCAAGUCUGACGGAGCAACGCCGCGUGAGUGAAGAAGGAUUUCGGUUCGUAAAACUCUGUUGCUAGAGAAGAACAGCGCAUAGAGUAACUGUUAUGCGUGUGACGGUAUCUAACCAGAAAGCCACGGCUAACUACGUGCCAGCAGCCGCGGUAAUACGUAGGUGGCAAGCGUUGUCCGGAUUUAUUGGGCGUAAAGCGAGCGCAGGCGGUCAAUUAAGUCUGAUGUGAAAGCCCCCGGCUCAACCGGGGAGGGUCAUUGGAAACUGGUUGACUUGAGUGCAGAAGAGGAGAGUGGAAUUCCAUGUGUAGCGGUGAAAUGCGUAGAUAUAUGGAGGAACACCAGUGGCGAAGGCGACUCUCUGGUCUGUAACUGACGCUGAGGUUCGAAAGCGUGGGUAGCAAACAGG